AAGGUCAGGUACCGCACGACGGUUACCAGCGACGUCAACGGCGACACUUCCGGAUACUACAAUUCCAUCUUGCUCACUCUAGUAGGCCGUGAGUGAAUGAGCAUGGCCACGAGUGAUCCUUGUUGGCUCAAGUUGAGACCGUAGUGCAAGCUCAUCAAAGAAGGUGGUGUGGCCAAUUUGACAUCUACAACUAUAGAAGGCACUAAAGCUGGAAAAAAAAUUGCUGCAGUCCGACUGCAAACUAAAAUGUUUGCAGUCCCUCAUAAAAAGGAAGAUAGACAUCACUUAGUUGUGUUAUUGCUUCUGCGGGUGAAAUCUAUUCUCCUUUUUGUGAGAGGCUGCAAACAUUUUGGUUUGCAACCGGACUGCAGCAAAAAAAUUUCCCUAAAGCUUUAACUUUUCUAGUCAUUGUUAAUUGUACCAUUCGAGACUUUGGUAGGCCAAGUAUCUCUCUUUUGAUGCCGCUAGUGCUAGACAUAAACCAGGUUGUUCCAAGAAUUGGCAUAAAAUGUAUAAGGUUGUCUUCAGCAACGUCAUCUAUAUCCAUCCUCUAUAUCCG
rnacentral:lncRNA from 7 species